CGGGGGACAACAUUUGGAAACGAAUGCUAAUACCGCAUAAUAGCUUUGGACAGAAGUCUGAAGUUUGAAAGAAACAACUGUUUCACUCAAAGAUGAUCCCGCGUUGGAUUAGCUAGUUGGUGAGGUAAAGGCUCACCAAGGCGAUGAUCCAUAGCCGACCUGAGAGGGUGAUCGGCCACAUUGGGACUGAGACACGGCCCAAACUCCUACGGGAGGCAGCAGUAGGGAAUCUUCGGCAAUGGGGGCAACCCUGACCGAGCAACGCCGCGUGAGUGAAGAAGGUUUUCGGAUCGUAAAGCUCUGUUGUGAGAGAAGAACGACAAAGAGAGUGGAAAGCUCUUUGUGUGACGGUAUCUCACCAGAAAGGGACGGCUAACUACGUGCCAGCAGCCGCGGUAAUACGUAGGUCCCGAGCGUUGUCCGGAUUUAUUGGGCGUAAAGCGAGCGCAGGUGGUUUAUUAAGUCUGGUGUAAAAGGCAGUGGCUCAACCAUUGUAUGCAUUGGAAACUGGUAGACUUGAGUGCAGGAGAGGAGAGUGGAAUUCCAUGUGUAGCGGUGAAAUGCGUAGAUAUAUGGAGGAACACCGGUGGCGAAAGCGGCUCUCUGGCCUGUAACUGACACUGAGCUCGAAAGCGUGGGGAGCAAACAGGAUUAGAUACCCUGGUAGUCCACGCCGUAAACGAUGAGUGCUAGAUGU
rnacentral:rRNA from 1 species